AUUAAAAACGCAUUUCACCUAAACAUAGGCUUUCUCAAAGUGUAUACACUUUUGAGAAAGCCUAUGUUUAGGUGAAAUGCGUUAAG